GCCGGCGUGGUGGAAUGGCAGACACUGGGGACUUAAAAUCCCCUCCUCGCAAGGGGGUAUGAGUUCGAGUCUCAUCGCCGGCA
rnacentral:tRNA from 1 species